GAUGAACGCUGGCGGCGUGCCUAAUACAUGCAAGUCGAGCGAACAGAUGAGGAGCUUGCUCCUCUGACGUUAGCGGCGGACGGGUGAGUAACACGUGGAUAACCUACCUAUAAGACUGGGAUAACUUCGGGAAACCGGAGCUAAUACCGGAUAAUAUAUUGAACCGCAUGGUUCAAUAGUGAAAGACGGUUUUGCUGUCACUUAUAGAUGGAUCCGCGCCGCAUUAGCUAGUUGGUAAGGUAACGGCUUACCAAGGCAACGAUGCGUAGCCGACCUGAGAGGGUGAUCGGCCACACUGGAACUGAGACACGGUCCAGACUCCUACGGGAGGCAGCAGUAGGGAAUCUGCCGCAAUGGGCGAAAGCCUGACGGAGCAACGCCGCGUGAGUGAUGAAGGUCUUCGGAUCGUAAAACUCUGUUAUUAGGGAAGAACAAAUGUGUAAGUAACUAUGCACGUCUGGACGGUACCUAAUCAGAAAGCCACGGCGAACUACGU
rnacentral:rRNA from 1 species